UACGUAGGGACCGAGCGUUGUCCGGAAUCAUUGGGCGUAAAGAGCGUGUAGGCGGCUAUUUAAGUCCUGCGUGAAAUCCUGCGGCUCAACCGCAGACGGUCGUGGGAAACUGGAUGGCUAGAGUGCGGGAGAGGAGAGUGGAAUUCCGGUGUAGCGGUGAAAUGCGCAGAUAUCAGGAAGAACACCCGUGGCGAAGGCGGUUCUCUGGGACGGUACUGACGCUGAGACGCGAAAGCGUGGGGAGCGAACAGG
rnacentral:rRNA from 1 species